ACAAUAACCUUACAUCAUAAAUGUAGUGAACUUGGGUUAGGCUUUUACUCACAUGCAGUCCUGUUCUCAACACUGGGAUGGGACCCUCAAAGAUCACCCACCAGGGCAGGAUUCAUUAUAAGACAGUAGAUGGGAAAUAAAGAAGCAUUCAAUUCGGGCUUUUCCCUCAAAGAAACUAAGACACAUUAAGCAGAUAAGGUAUGAAGACAGUGUAAUAGCAGGGUGGA
rnacentral:lncRNA from 1 species